GUGGGGAAUAUUGGACAAUGGGCGAAAGCCUGAUCCAGCAACGCCGCGUGAGGGAUGACGGCCUUCGGGUUGUAAACCUCUUUCAACAGGGACGAAGCGAAAGUGACGGUACCUGCAGAAGAAGGACCGGCCAACUACGUGCCAGCAGCCGCGGUAAUACGUAGGGUCCGAGCGUUGUCCGGAAUUAUUGGGCGUAAAGGGCUCGUAGGCGGUCUGUCGCGUCGGGAGUGAAAACUCAGGGCUCAACCCUGAGCGUGCUUCCGCUACGGGCAGACUAGAGGUCUGCAGGGGAGAACGGAAUUCCUGGUGUAGCGGUGGAAUGCGCAGAUAUCAGGAGGAACACCGGUGGCGAAGGCGGUUCUCUGGGCAUUACCUGACGCUGAGGAGCGAAAGCAUGGGGAGCGAACAGGAUUAGAAACCCUUGUAGUCC
rnacentral:rRNA from 1 species